ensembl:snoRNA small nucleolar RNA, H/ACA box 13
AGCCUUCGUGUUGCCCGUUCGCUCUUGCAAACUGGCGAAUGUGGUGUCAAAGAAGGCGCACAGUGAAUGCUUGCCAGCCUUUUCCUGCCCCUGGUGUGGUGCCUUGGGUGCGGGAGCUGCGCGAGCUACAGCC